rnacentral:rRNA from 1 species
CCUACGGGUGGCAGCAGUGGGGAAUAUUGGACAAUGGGCGAAAGCCUGAUCCAGCCAUGCCGCGUGUGUGAAGAAGGCCUUCGGGUUGUAAAGCACUUUCAGUGGGGAAGAAAGCCUUGGGGCUAAUACCCUCGAGGAAGGACAUCACCCACAGAAGAAGCACCGGCUAACUCCGUGCCAGCAGCCGCGGUAAUACGGAGGGUGCGAGCGUUAAUCGGAAUUACUGGGCGUAAAGCGCGCGUAGGCGGUCUGAUAAGCCGGUUGUGAAAGCCCCGGGCUCAACCUGGGAACGGCAUCCGGAACUGUCAGGCUAGAGUGCAGGAGAGGAAGGUAGAAUUCCCGGUGUAGCGGUGAAAUGCGUAGAGAUCGGGAGGAAUACCAGUGGCGACGGCGGCCUUCUGGACUGACACUGACGCUGAGGUGCGAAAGCGUGGGUAGCAAACAGGAUUAGAUACCCGGGUAGUC